GGCUGUUGCACUAUGAACAAGUCUGAUAUAGACUGAUGCCUGAUCUCUAAAGCUAAUCUGGGUGGGGUCUGGUUAAUACUUGGAUGGGAGACUACUUGGGAAUACCAGGUGUUGUAGGCU
rnacentral:rRNA from 1 species